rnacentral:rRNA from 1 species
AGCGGCGGACGGGUGAGUAACGCGUGGGUAACCUGCCUCAUACAGGGGGAUAACAGUUAGAAAUGACUGCUAAUACCGCAUAAGACCACGGUACCGCAUGGUACAGUGGUAAAAACUCCGGUGGUAUGAGAUGGACCCGCGUCUGAUUAGGUAGCUGGUGGGGUAACGGCCUACCAAGCCGACGAUCAGUAGCCGACCUGAGAGGGUGACCGGCCACAUUGGGACUGAGACACGGCCCAG